rnacentral:rRNA from 1 species
GACGAACGCUGGCGGCGUGCCUAAUACAUGCAAGUAGGACGCAGUUGCGAACGGGUGAGUAACGCGUAGGUAACUACCUAUUAGAGGGGGAUAAAUAUUGGAAACGAUAGCAAAUACCGCAUACUAGGAGAUGGACCUGCGUUGUAUUAGCUAGUAGGUAGGGUAUUGGACUACCUAGGCAACGAUACAUAGCCGACCUGAGGGGGUGAUCGGCCAAACUGGGACUGAGGCACGGCCCAGAGUCCCACGGGAGGCAGCAGUAGGGAAGCUGCGGCAAUGGGGGGAACCCUGACCGAGCAACGCCGCGUGAGUGAAGAAGGUUUUCGGAUCGUAAAGCUCUGUUGUUAAGGAGGCGGUACUUAACCAGAAAGGGACGGCUAACUACGUGCCAGCAGCCGCGGUAAUUC